rnacentral:rRNA from 1 species
GACGAACGCUGGCGGCGUGCUUAACACAUGCAAGUCGAGCGGAGCGGCGAACGGGUGAGUAACGCGUGAGUAAAUGCCCCCCUCUCUGGGAUAACAGUUGGAAACGGCUGCUAAUACCGGAUAGUGGGGGAUGACUCGCGUCCUAUCACCUUGUUGGUGGGGUAGUGGCCCACCAAGGCGACGAAGGGUAGCCGGCCUGAGAGGGCGACCGGCCACAUUGGGCGGAGAUACGGCCCAGACAACUACGGGAGGCAGCGGUGGGAAGUAUUGCAAUAUGGGGGAAACCAUGAAGCAGCAAACCGCGAGCGGGAUGACGGCCUUCGGGUUGUAAACCGCUUUCGGCCAUAACGCGGUAGUGGCAGAAGAAGCACCGGCUAACUACGUGCCAGCCGCCGCGGUAAUUC